rnacentral:lncRNA from 10 species
CAGAGUUGGAAUGGGAUAGGUAGUUCCCCGUUUCCAGGACCCCAGACGGCCUGCUGGGACAGUGUAUAUGAGUCCGGAAUGGGCUGGACCAGGGUCAGGCUAGCCCAGACUUCAGGAGGAAGCACUCAAUUGAACAAGUGCAGGAACCAGCUGGCUGCCUCAGCACUGACAGAAGCAAAUUCCAUUUGCUUGGACCCACUGCAUUCCAUCCCUUGUGGAAGAGAGCAUGUAAGCAAGACAGGACCUUCAGGCCUCUGAAAAAAAAAGGAUCAAAGAACUGAAACUCACCAGAUCACCUCACCAGAUGCUGGACCCCUCAUUCACCAUGUUUGCUUCCUUGCCUCUCCCUAGUUCUUAUUUUCUUACACAUUGUUACAUUUCUUCCCUGCUAUAUCAACCCCUAGUUCUAGUCAGUCAUGGAGAUGGAUUUGAGACUGAUCUCCCAUCCCCUCAGCUACACCACCUGAUUAAAGCCUUCUUCCUUGGCAAUAAUCAUUGUCUCAGUCAUUGGCUUUCUGUGCA